UACGUAGGGGGCGAGCGUUGUCCGAAGUUACUGGGCGUAAAGCGCGCGUAGGCGGGAGCGUAAGUCCGCUGUGAAAGCCCGGAGCUUAACUCCGGAGGGUCGGUGGAGACUGCGUUUCUUGAAGGUGCUAGAGGGAGAUGGAAUUACCGGUGUAGCGGUGAAAUGCGUAGAGAUCGGAAAGAACACCAACGGCGAAAGCACUCUGCUGGGCCGACACUGACACUGAGGAGCGAAAGCGUGGGGAGCGAACAGG
rnacentral:rRNA from 1 species